rnacentral:rRNA from 1 species
AUUAUUUAAGAGCUUAACAUUGUAAGUAAAUAAAAAUUAUGAAAGCAAAAAAUUAUGGCGGUAUUUUAAGCUUUUCAGAGGAAUUUGCUCUUUAAUGGAUAAAACGCCAAAAUCUUACUUAAAUUUGUUAGUUCAAUUUGUAUACCACUAUAAAAACAAUUUAUAACUUUAAUUGUUUAAAUUUAUUAAAUUAAAAUAUAUUAAGUCAAGGUGCAGUAAAAAUUUAAGAAUGAAGUGAAUUACAUUACUUUUUAGUGAAAAAAAAAAAUUAUAAUAACACUU